UUUUGGGGGGGGGGGUGUGACAAGUGGAUUUUCACUAAUGCGGCCCUCUCACAGGAAAAGAGGGAGGUGGCUUGCCCUGUUGGGUUGUUUGGAAGAAGUUUCUGAGAAAAUCUUCCCACCNNNNNNNNNNNNNNNNNNNNNNNNNUUUGGAAAAAAUCUUCCCCCCCCCCCCCCCCCCCCCCCUCGGAUUUAACAGGGAAUAGCCACCACCUCUUUGACUUGAGUCUCCCAGGGCUGUGCUGGUAGCUUGGGCCUGUGCUCAGGUGUGGCUGCAAAGCUGCAGAAGCAAGGCAUCGAUACUUGUGGCCACUCUGUGCACAGGCUGGCGGUGCUGGGUCACGCUGUGCCUGCUGCUCUGGCUAGCCAAGAGCUGCUGCUGAGAACGCCUGCAUUGUCUACUUGCUGGGCUGUCUGCUUCAGGACUGUGCAAGUGGCUUUUCCUGCCAGCCCACCCUCAAACUGAGUCAGGGUCUGAUUUCAGCACUGCUCCUGCUGGCAGCACUGGGACGGGUGCCCUACAGCCCUGCAAAUGAAAGGCAGGAGCUAGAAGUAGGAAUGUAGGGCCAGGAGCUGGUCAGGAAAGACCCAGAUUCAUGGGGAUCAAUCAUAAGAGAAUGAACGUCAACAGCACAUUGAAGAAAUUCCUCUUUGCCCAUCUUGUGUAGCUGGACUGAUGUUCUUUGUCAAAUAACUACCCAGCACAGCAGUCCCUCUCUCUACAUGAUGAAAGAGCUAUCAGGAGGCAGGAGUUCUGGCUGCUGGCCAGCUGUCUGUGGUUCCAGGCUGUUCGGUCAGAAGCACUGGGAUUAAGAGCAGGCAUAUCUCCUGGAGCAGGAAUCAGUGUUCGGCACUCUCCCCUUUCACAUCACACCACCUCAGCUGCUGGGCUGCACGGUUAGAACAACUAUGCAUCUUUGACACAGUGUCACGGAAACCUUUUUCAGAAGUCUGCUUGGAAGGAACUCAUUGUUCUAGCACUCAUGUGCUCCAGUUGUUUGAUAAAAAAGAAAAAGCUCUCUGUUGCAUAAAGAUACAAAUUAGACUGAAAUACAUAAACAUUAUCAAAAACUUGAUUUCUCUUCUGAUUCCUGUUUAUAUUACACUGGUGUGUGGUACGUAUACCUUGUAUACCUUUUACAUAUACAUGAAUAAAAUGGCAGGUGAAGAUACCUAUUCCCAUUUAAUGUUUAUUAUGAAAGUGAUUGUAACAAAUUUUUUAUUACAUGCUUCAUUUUGAGCUUUGACAUACAAAACAAAGCUAUUAAUAUACAGAGGCAAAAGGAAAUGUAUUUUCUUAUAAGGUACAUUUACAACAACAUUUUCUACUAUGAAUCUGACAGUAGUGUUAAAAUAUUGGUAAAGCUUAGAUCACUGUAUUUUAGUUUCUAAGUAUCAAAUUUUGUACAGUUAUUCACUGUCUUUACUCUAAACUACCACGGUACACUUCAUACGGGAAUAGCUGUUUGUACAUAAUUUACAUUGAUAAUAAAGCUUAGAAGUCCCAGCA
rnacentral:lncRNA from 1 species